rnacentral:tRNA from 2 species
GCGUUCAUAGCUCAGUUGGUUAGAGCACCACCUUGACAUGGUGGGGGUCGUUGGUUCGAGUCCAAUUGAACGC